AUUGAACGCUGGCGGCAGGCCUAACACAUGCAAGUCGGGCGAGUGGCGGACGGGUGAGUAAUGUAUGGGGAACUGCCUGAUGGAGGGGGAUAACUACUGGAAACGGUAGCUAAUACCGCAUACCAUCAGAUGUACCCAUAGGGGAUUAGCUCGUAGGUGGGGUAACGGCUCACCUAGGCGACGAUCCCUAGCUGGUCUGAGCGGAUGACCAGCCACACUGGGACUGAGACACGGCCCAGACUCCUACGGGAGGCAGCAGUGGGGAAUAUUGCACAAUGGGCGCAAGCCUGAUGCAGCCAUGCCGCGUGUAUGAAGAAGGCCUUCGGGUUGUAAAGUACUUUCAGUCGGGAGGCGUUACCGACAGAAGAAGCACCGGCUAACUCCGUGCCAGCCGCCGCGGUAAUUC
rnacentral:rRNA from 1 species